rnacentral:rRNA from 1 species
CCAAUAGCGUAUAUUAAAGUUGUUGCAGUUAAAAAGCUCGUAGUUGAAUUUCGAGACCGGUUUACUGGUCGUGCUUUUGUACGUACUGGUAUUAUUGGUUUCUCCUUUCUGACGAAUCAUAAUGCCAUUAAUUUGGUGUUUUGGGGAAUCAGGACUGUUACUUUGAAAAAAUUAGAGUGUUUAAAGCAGGCUCACGCUUGAAUACAUUAGCAUGGAAUAACGAAAUAGGACGUUUGAUUUUAUUUUGUUGGUUUCUAGGAUCGACGUAAUGAUUAAUAGGGAUAGUUGGGGGCAUUAGUAUUCAAUUGUCAGAGGUGAAAUUCUUGGAUUUAUUGAAGACUAACUACUGCGAAAGCAUUUGCCAAGGAUGUUUUCAUUAAUCAAGAACGAAAGUUAGGGGAUCGAAGACGAUCAGAUACCUUCGUAGUCUUAACCAUAAACUAUGCCGACUAGGGAUCGGAUGAUGUUAAUUUUUUAAUGACUCAUUCGGCGCCUUACG